GCUCCUUGACUUGCUAUCAGUGUAUGCCUUAUGGAACAGGGCCAUGCAAAGACAUAACGAUCUGUCCUCCUACUACUUAUUGUGGUAAUCUGAGGGUGGCCACUUUUGCCGGUGGACAGGUGAUCUCAGAUAUGACCAUUAAGAGUUGUGUUGUGCCUCAACAAUGUAUAGUUGGUUCCUAUAAUGUGGGUAAGAUAAAAAAAGUAAUCAACAGCAAAUGCUGCAUAAAGGACGACUGCAAUAACGGGACAGUUGAAGAUUAUUAGCUUUGGGUGUAGAUAUGUGUUGGAAAUAGACAAAAAACUUUGAUUGUAACAUCUCUCAAAAGCAUCCACUGGAGGUCCCAAUGGAAAGGAAUGUCACACAUGCAUUGGGAGUGACUGUUCAAGCAAACUGAAAUGUGAGGGAGAGGAAGACCGCUGUCUAAUAGCAAAACUGGAUGUAGAUGGUGAGAAAAUGACAGGGAAGGGCUGUGCCUCUAAGAGCAUCUGCACUAUGAAGAUGAGAAGAUCAGAUGGAACAGGGCCUGGCGGAUAUGACAUGCUGUGAGGGAUACCUGUGCAACAGUACAGGAGAAGUUAACAGGAAUAGCAUAACAAUCAUGGUGUUGUCAAUAGCCUGCUUCCUCUUCUUACAUUAAAGGUACACCAGGCA